CCCCAGACAGGUCUAAGAAGUAGAUCUUUUAUGGACUGAAUAACAAAAUGUGAGGGCACAAAGCAUCUGGAAAGUGUUCCAAGAAAACCAAGCAUUUGAAAACAUGUAUUGCCAAAUGUUAUUAAGCAAAUAUCAGAGCUGCAGUUCCACAUGCAUAAGAAAUGCUGCCGUGGCUUCAAGUAUAAGGAGAAUAGCUGGAAUGCAUUCUAGAAGGGAAAAGUAGUCAGGGUCUGGGUAAGUCUCCCAUAAUCUUGUGAACUUCCUUGGCCAUAAACAAUCCUAAGUAAAGAAAUCUCCAAAUGACAACUUGGAAGCCUUCAGCAUUUAUGAGACAGGCUAAGGAAGAAUUAUGAGAGAGACUGGGAAGGGCAUAAAGAGACUUACUUUGGGGGGAAGAAAUGCAUUGCAUAGAAGGAGUAAAAACUACAGGGCACCUUCUCAUCUGAUGUAAUGCCAGACAGGAGUUCCCACAGAUAAUUAUUCUGAAGAUAUAAUCAUGUAGUGAAUUUGUGCCCUUAGACCAAUGCAAUGAACAAAUAAAAGCAUGCAUGAGGACCACAAGAAUUCCAGUCAUGACAACAGCAGGAAGGAUCAGCCAGGAGGGCAUUAUCCUCUUAUGCCUGCAAAUGCAAUUUUAAAUUGGAAUCUGAAUGAAGAUCUUUCUUGUGGGCACAUCUAUCCUGAUUCCUCUCUGAAAUACCUGGCCCUGACUGGCUGCUUUGGCAAGUCUUUCAGAAGUUAUUACAUUAAGAAAACAUUGAAGAUGAAUAUUUUCUCAGGUCAGUCUCCCAAAGCAAUAGAAAUUAGAGUAUGUUUUUUAAGUAUGCUAACCCCUUCCCAUAAUUGUGUGUUUUAGCCUGAUGGUCCUGUAAGUUCAAACACUUCAUUACUAUAUUAAAAUUAAGAAGAGAGACAUACAAACAAACAAAAAGGGUUAUUUACUUCCUAACAUCCCUUGCCCACAUUUUAUGGUUUUGAUGACUCUUUUUUAUUUUUUUCUUUUUAAUUUUAUUUUGUUUGAAGCAUGUUCAUGAUUAAAUCUGUAUGCUGGCUUAUCUGAGUGACUGCUCUCUGAUUGCGGUUUCCUCAGUCCUAGUUCUUCCUCUUCUUCUUCUUUUUUUUUUUUUUUCCCCUUUUCUUUUUUCUUCCCUUUCCUUCCUUUCUCUUUGGUUUAGAGAAGCCCCUUCAAUAUUUCCUUUAACCUGGGUUUUGUGUUGCUGUAUUCUUUAAGUUUUUGUUUGUUGGGGAAAAUUUUUAUUUCCCCUUCUAUUUUAAAUGAUAUUCUUGCUGGAUAGAGUAUUCUAGGUUGCAUAUUUUUUCCUUUUAGCACUUUAAAUAUCUCUUGCCAUUCCCUCCUGGCCUGUAGUGUUUCUGUAGAGAAAUCAGCUGAUAUUCUUAUGGGGGUUCCCUUGUAAGUAACAUUCUGUUUUCUCUCGCUGCCUUUAGGAUUUCUCUCGCUGCCUUUAGGAUCCUCCCCAUAUGGCCCUGCAAUCCCACUCUUGGGCAUCUAUCCGGACAAAACUCUACUUAAAAGAGACACAUGCACCCGCAUGUUCACUGCAGCCCUAUUCACAACAGCCAGGACAUGGAAACAACCCAAAUGUCUAUCGCCAGAUGAUUGGAUUCGGAAGAAGUGGAAUAUAUA
rnacentral:lncRNA from 1 species